AGAGAGAGAGAGAGAGAGAGAGAGAGAGAGAGAGAGAGAGAGAGACAGAGAGAGAGAGAGAGAGCAAUGAGAAACAGAAAGGUAAAGAAUAGUAUUAAGGAUAAAGGGGAGGAAGGGAGGAAGGGACAAAAAGAGAGAGAGAGAUAGAGAUAGAGAGAGAGAGAGGAGUCCUUCUUCCCUUAGGUUCUCUCUCUCGGGUACACACACACGACAAAACUCGCGCGCGCGUCCGUCGAGAGGAGUAUAUCACUCGUCGUAAUCCGCUGCCAUGCUCGUUCUUCGCUCACGCUCAUCUGCACUUCUUCUUCCGCACACGGUGCAAGUUACUAUCGCACUGACAUAGGCACGCUCGAACGAACGAGCGUGCAUGCAUGCGUACGUGCGUGCGUGCGUGCGUGCCCCCGCGAAGUCAGUCUACGGUGAGUGAGUGAACGUGUACAAGGGAGAGAUGUUGCGGGAAGAGGGGAGACUGAGAGAAAGAGAGAGAGAGAGAGAGAGAGAGAGAGAGAGAGAGAGAGAGAGAGAGAGAGAGAGAGAGAGAGAGAGAGAGAGAGAGCGAGUGAGUGAGAAGGGCGGAGAGGGGAGAGAGUUAACACUAUGAAGCAGCGGACAACGGCGACGGCAGUGACGAUGACGGCGAAGGGUGAGGAAGGGAGGUGGGGGGAGGGGGAAAUACGUUAGGUAGAAGGAAUGACGGAGAGGAAAGAACGUGUGUAGUACGCACGGAAGUUCCAGAGAAAAAGAGACAGAGUGAGAGAAAGAAAGAAAGAGAGAGAGAGAGAGAGAGAGAGAGAGACAUAAAGAAAGAGAAAGAGAGAGAGAAACGAUUCCCCCUCUCCAUCUAUCUGGUGUACUUCGAACUAAAAACUGGUCGUCUCUUCGCGUCCUCUUCAUCACUUUUUUGUUUUCUCUACGAAAAGGUCGAAGCACGAACUAUGUAUGUAUAUAUGCAUGUAUGCACGAAUGCAUACAUGCAUGCGUGUCGUGCGUGUGUGCGUGCGUGCGUGCGUCAUGUAUAAAUACAUGUAUAUACGUAUAUGUAUAUAACUGUGUAUGUAUAUAUAUGUAAGAAAAUCUUCCUUUUUGCGAAAGAAAACAAGGAAAGAAGAGUUAGUGGUCGUUCUAUGUAUCUUCUAUCUCCUCUCUCUCUCUCUCUCUCUCUAUUUCUCUCAUUGGAAAGAAAGAGAGAGAGAGAGAAAGAGAGAGAGAAAGAGAGAAAGAGAGAGAAAGAGAGAGAGAGAGAGAGAGAGACAAAAGAAAAAAGGAUAUCAGUAUUCUACACGUUCGUUAUACGAACGAUAUAAUUCCAAGAGAAAAAUAAAAAUGUACACGCGUUAUUCGGUCAGUUCUCGAAGCGACAAACGUACAAUCAUCAUCAACCGCGCUCGUCGACGACGACGACGCCACUGGACUGCACUUAGUGGACAUCCAGCAUUUACAAUACGUCACUGUCGUAAACGCAACGUGAGAGACGCCACUCUUUCUCUCGUUCUCUUUCUCUUUCUCUCUCUCUCUCUCUCUCUCUCUCUUUCUCUGUCUCUCUCUGGCUGUUUGGUUGCGUUUCUUUCUCUUUCUCUUUCUCUCUCUCUCUCUCUCUCUCUCUCUUUCUGUUUUCAUCGAAUAGGCUAUGACUUCUAUUUAUACGACAUCGCGAUCGUGCGUGAGUGACGACGUACGGUACGUCGUUGUCUCUUAUGGUUUCAUACGCAUCGAAUACAUUUUUCCAUUCGAACAAAUAAAACGUGAAAAUUAUUUAUGAAUUGUUCUUAUAGACAGAACUUUAACUCGUUAAUUUUUGUUCCUUUCGAAUGAUAGAGUCUCGAUGAUUAUGGAAUAAUAGAUUUUAAAAAUAUAGUAAUAAUAAAAAUAAGAAUUAGAAAAAAAAGAAAAUAAAAGAAAAGAAAAGAGAAAAAGGUGUAUUACCUAUAGAAAAGCGUACCGAGUAAUAACGGAUAAGGUCGAUUGAGAGAUCGAUUGCAUUCGAUAUAUCUCGUAGGCUCUUUUUCUCGUUUUCGAGAACACGCGCUGAUGUUGCAUAGCAGUUUUGCAAUGAUAUGUGUAUGUGUGUGUGUGUGUCGAGGUUACUUGUACCUUGUCCAAUAGUCACGUUUUACAAAGUAUCAAGAAAGGCCGCGAGAUCUACCGAUAAAUGUCGUCGAUUCACGGGUUAAAAGGUACAAGAAGCGGGAAAUUCAAAUGUUCCUUCGAUCGACGAGGUUAUAAGCGGAGUCUUUUCAAGUGACACGCAAAACUUCGAAGGAAGCUUUUGGAUAUUACGUAAUACAAAAAAAAAAAAAAGGAAAAAGGAAAAAAAAAAAAGAGAAAAAUUGUUCCGCUCUUGUUGGGAUAAAUCGAUUUUGAAAUCGUAACCAGAGUACAUUUUACUCUGCGAUCGAUGGAUAAUAGCGACACGAGUCACGUUUCGUGGAAAACCUUUACGAUGUGAACACGAAAUUAGCAAGGAGAAGGAAGGUCGAAACGAUUCUGAAAGUCGAGUAAACAGAAAUACAUUGUAUUAUGAGGCAAAUGGAAAAGUUUACAAUAACAGAAGUUAUGAUUAUAAUAUUCCAAAAAAGAAGGAUAUACACGAUGCGGGAUUUUAAAUCCUACGUCUCUUCAUUGCAAAGACAUUAUCAGAGAUAUCAUUGGUCGAAAAGACACUAGGAUUUCUAGUGAUUUAUAAUAAUAUUUCAAAAAUUUUAUAAUAAUUUAAUCUCCAAUACAACUAAUAGGUUAUAUUUAAA